GUCCUCGUAGCUCAGCUGGAUAGAGCAUCGGUUUCCUAAACCGGGGGUCGCAGGUUCAAGUCCUGCCGAGGACGCCA
rnacentral:tRNA from 1 species